rnacentral:rRNA from 1 species
AGUGAACGCUGGCGGUAGGCCUAACGCAUGCAAGUCGAACGGCAGCACAGUAAGAGCUUGCUCUUACGGGUGGCGAGUGGCGGACGGGUGAGGAAUACAUCGGAAUCUACUUUUUCGUGGGGGAUAACGUAGGGAAACUUACGCUAAUACCGCAUACGACCUACGGGUGAAAGCAGGGGAUCUUCGGACCUUGCGCGAUUGAAUGAGCCGAUGUCGGAUUAGCUAGUUGGCGGGGUAAAGGCCCACCAAGGCGACGAUCCGUAGCUGGUCUGAGAGGAUGAUCAGCCACACUGGAACUGAGACACGGUCCAGACUCCUACGGGAGGCAGCAGUGGGGAAUAUAGGACAAUGGGCGCAAGCCUGAUCCAGCCAUACCGCGUGGGUGAAGAAGGCCUUCGGGUUGUAAAGCCCUUUUGUUGGGAAAGAAAAGCAGCAGGUUAAUACCCCGCUGUUCUGACGGUACCCAAAGAAUAAGCACCGGCUAACUUCGUG